CAGAAUGCUAUGCUAAAGGACAACAAUAUCGAUUGUAAAGUUACAUAAAAAAAUAUCAAAGACAGAUGUUCACAUGGACGUAUUGUACAGGGAGGGGGAGCUAGAGCAGACAGCAGCAUAUAUUGAUAGUAUUUUAAAAUGUUAUUUAUUCCUGUGAUUUCAAAGCUGAAUAUGUUUCUUGGACAGCAAAUGAGCAUAUUAGAAUGAUUUCUGAAGGAUCAUUUGACACUGAAAUCUGCAGUACUGAUGCUGGAAAUUCAGCUUUUGAUAACAGAAAUAAAUUACAUUUUAAAAUAUAUCCCAAUCGAAAACAGUUGUUUAAAAUAGUAAAAAUAUUUCUCAAUAUUACUUUGGAUCAAAUUAAUGCAGGAUUGAUGGGAGAGGGGCAGAGAUAUUAGGGAAAAUGAAGAAAAGGAUAAGGGAAGUGAAGGUACAGUGAAAGAGAGAACAUUUAAUUAUUUUCCAUGGACUUGUGGUUUCAAAAAUUUUUGUGGAUGUAUAGGCUAUAUGCAGAAAAAGGGGGCCAAAAUCGAACCUUUUGGGGUACAACAACUUGUCCCUGGAGCAGUACCCUUAAAAGGACAUAUUUGUUCAUUUUUUUUUUUAACCCUAACAGGUAGACCUGUUCCUAUUAGGGGUUAAAAAGGUAGGAAGAUUUCCUUUUAAGAGUACUGCUACAGUAUCAGAAUACUGAUGCUGAAGAAUUUAAGAUUUUUUUUUAAAAUCCUAUUUAGAAAAUGAGGUUCAUGCUGAUACAAUGGAUCGAAGAUCCCCCAAAAUGGGAUGUGCUUCCAACCAAUAAAAUGAUACAUGGCUGCUGUGAAAUUGGUUGUAUAUGUGACGUUUCAUACGAAGAUGAGUCAAGCCCUGCAAAAAUUUUAAACAUUGGAACUAGAUCUGCAAUGCUGAAGCAGCUAAAUACGGUCAUCAACAGGACUGGGCCUGAAGGAAAUGGAGAACAAUUAGGGAGAGGGCAGCGCAAAAAAUACCGCCGAAUACUGUCGGAGAGCUCCAGCAGUGAGGAAUAUGAGUCUGUCAACAAACAGGUUGCUGCAAAGACCAUAAACAGGAUACGAGCCAGAUCUUUUCUCCAGCAGUAUAAUCAAGAAAAAGAAUCAAACAGGGAGGCAGUAACAUCUAGAAACCGUGACAGUGAAUUUAAUGUUCAAAUACUUGCAGAACUGAGAGAAAUCAAGAGUGUUCUUUUGGAAACUCUGACACUUUUAAAAAAUGGAUGCACUCCAUUAAUGACUGUGCCAAUCCCAAACACAUUGGGAACUCCUCCUGGACCCACUUCAGAUUUGAUCCCCUGCAGUUCAGAGUCUUCUGCAGUCAUACCAGCCCCGAGUUCCUCUCUUCAGACUCUUUAUGUAAAGGAGUCUAGAAGUAAUGGUAACUGCAAAAAGGUAAGAAUUGGCUCCAACACAUCAAUCUCUGCUGAACAGUUUGCCCACGUAAAAUGGACUGAUCACAAAAAAGCCACAAAAGACCUCUUGAUGGCAGUGUUUGGAAGAGGCAUUCUCGCAACACACUGCUACAGUGGAAGAUGUUCCAAUGCAUUCAAAAACAAAGCAGCCAAGCCUCAACUUGAUUCUGAAAAAGUUUCUGACAUCAUUAGCUACAUCAAAAAUAAAUUCAAUGUUGAAGCAAAUGUAAUUAAGAAGGCCAUCUCCCAGAAAUGCACAGACGAGUGCAAGUUGGCAAAACGGCACCACAGUGAUUGUGUGUGACUGUAUGUACAUCAGACUGGUUUGUUCAGGAAUGUUGUAUUUCCCAGUUACUGCUUUAUAUUUAUUGUGUGGUUUGUUUGUUUGUUUGUUUGUGAAAGCCUGUAAUGAAUAUAGUCUGAACAGAGUACAAAAAAAGGUAAUAAAUGCAAUAUAAUUCAAG
ensembl:lncRNA